rnacentral:rRNA from 1 species
GACGAACGCUGGCGGCGUGCCUAAUACAUGCAAGUCGAGCGAAGUUUUUCUGGUGCUUGCACUAGAAAAACUUAGCGGCGAACGGGUGAGUAGCACGUAAAGAACCUGCCUCAUAGACUGGGACAACUAUUGGAAACGAUAGCUAAUACCGGAUAACAGAAUUUCUCGCAAGAGAGAUAUUUAAAAGUUGGUUAUGCUAACACUAUGAGAUGGCUUUGCGGUGCAUUAGCUAGUUGGUGGGGUAAAGGCCCACCAAGGCGACGAUGCAUAGCCGACCUGAGAGGGUGAUCGGCCACACCGGGACUGAGACACGGCCCAGACUCCUACGGGAGGCAGCAGUAGGGAAUCUUCCGCAAUGGGCGAAAGCCUGACGGAGCAACGCCGCGUGAGUGAAGAAGGAUUUCGGUUCGUAAAGCUCUGUUGUUAGGGAAGAAUGGAUAUGUAGUAACUAUACAUGUAAGAGACGGUACCUAACCAGAAAGCCACGGCUAACUACGUG